GAAGCAUGGAGUUCUAGCUGGACUCAGGAUCUGCUUCUAUAGGACAAGGGAGCAAAAUCAACUGAGAGAGCUGGACCCUCGGGGAAUAAGGAGAUUAAAGGAGAAGCCACCUGCUCAAGGUGUCUGAAGAUAAAGAUUACAUUCAGUGGAGGGAUGCUGUGGCCUGGGAACAGCAGUGUAUUUUGUCACCAAGUCAGAGGAAAAGCAGACACCCUCCACCUGCCAGGACCAACCUUGAAAACCAUGAAGAGAAAACCUGGCAUCAAGGGUUCCAGCUAUUCAGAGCCAACCCUGACCUGGGCAGGAAAUUCAUAGAAU
rnacentral:lncRNA from 1 species